GUUACUUUGGCAGAAUAGUGUAAUAAAUUUAGAAUUUAUAUAUGUAAAAAUUUACAAGUAAUA
rnacentral:tRNA from 1 species